CGAAAAAACCGCUCUCACACGCUCAACACGCCACACUCGCUCCACUACCGCGCAUGCGCAGAGAGAGAGGUGUCUGAAACAUGUAUGUAUGGGCGGGGUUUAGAGAGAGAGAGAGGUGUGUCUGAAACAUGUAUGUAUGGGCGGGGUUUAGAGAGAGAGAGAGAGAGAGAGGUGUGUCUGAAACAUGUAUGUAUGGGCGGGGUUUAGAGAGAGAGAGAGAGAGAGGUGUCUGAAACAUGUAUGUAUGGACGGGGUUUAUAGAGAGAGAGAGGUGUGUCUGAAACAUGUCUGUAUGGGUGGGGUUUAGAGAGAGAGAGAGAGGUGAUUCGUUUUUUUGUCUCCUAGUUUAAACAUUACGGAGAUUCUUUUAGCCAACACUUUAACAUUUUUA
ensembl:lncRNA